UAGCUGUCUGAGAUGUUAGAGUCACAGGGGAUGUCAUCACCACAGUCUGUGGCAGUGAAGUAGCCGAAGGUGUGGUGCGGAUCUGAUAUGUCUGCAUAUCUCCUGAUGCAGCUGUAUAGUCAAAAAAGUGAGGCUGGCCUCAAUCUUCUCCUGCUUCAGCUUCCCAAGUAGCUGAAAUUACAAAUAUGCACCAUGACAUCUAGUCAAAAACGGUUUCAGAAUAAGCUAUAUUGAUAGAUAAUUAUUAAUUUGCUAGUAUGCUGCCUUUAAAAUUUUGGGGUGAGUUUGUCAGUAAUACAUGUAUGUGGCAAAGAAAAUAAUUUGUUUUGUUGAAACUGAAAGUGAACCUCUCCACUGCUAUUAAUCUCUGCUCCCAGUUUACAAAGGUAUUCUAUGUAUAUUCUUUAACUAUCGUAUUCAUAAUAAUUUUAACUUGAAAGCUGAUGAUAGUACCAGGUCUUAUUUGCAAAGGAUAUGGCUGGGAGUGAGCAGAACAAGGUUCUUUCCCUCAAGGAACUUAUAUUCUAAUGGGGAGAACAGAUCAUAAAUUAAGCUAUAAUUACACACAGUCUAUAAUUAAACUAAUAGGUACUCUUAAUUAUCCAUAAAUACUAUAAAGAAUAAUGCACAAGUAAAAAGAAUUUUAAAAAUUAAAAAAAUAACACAGGGGAAUAAAGAAAAUUAAAGGGAAGGGGAGCACAUUUAUUUUAAGAGUUGUCCUUGAAGGAGGUGUUACUUUAGGAGUGAGGAUGCAAACCAUGCCUGAGGAAAGAACAUGCCAGCAUGGAGGAUGACAACUCUGAAGACCCUGAAGUAGAAACAAGCUUUGUGGACUUAAGACAGGGUCUUGGUAUGUUGCCCAUGCUGGUCUCCAACUAUGAGCUCAAGCAGUCCUCUCACCACAGCAGCUGGGACUACAGGUAUGUAUCACAUGCCCAGUUCUAACAUCAUUCCAUUUAAAAAACAAAACUAGGAAUAGAUGGGAAUUUCCUUAAACUCAGAAAGUAAAAACCUAGCUGACAUCACACAUAAUGGUGAAAGAAUGUUUUUCUCUCUAAGUUCAGGAAUAAAGCAAGAUGUCCAUUCUCACUACUCAAUGUGAUUAAGUUCCAGUCAAUGCAAUAAAGGCAAGAAAAGAUUGGAAAAGAAUAAACAAAAACAUCCCUAUUUGCAGAUUACAUGGUUAUCUACAAGGAAAAUCCCCACAUCUUAAAAACAACAACAACAACAACAAAACCCCACAACUCAUCCUUCCUAGAACAAGUGAGUUCAGUAAUGUUGCAGGGUACAAGAUCAAGAUCAAUUUACAAAAUCAAAUGCUUUUCUAUACUCAAAAAAUGAACAAGUAAAAUUUAAAAUCAACACAAUAUUAUUUACAACUGCUCCAAAAAAAUAUACAAUACUAAGGGCUACUUGUCUAUUUAGCUCAGUGGUAGAACACUUGCCUAGAAGAGUUGUUGGCAGAAAGUGUUCAUUACUGGCCCUCUUCGGAACUGCCUCAAGGAGAGUCAAGGUUGCAUACUAUCCUUCCUGGUACAGUCAGAAUCCAAUGACUGGUGCAGACAGGAAAUAUAAACGACCUGUUGGCCCCACACCUCAAUCCCGCAAGAACUAUUUGGCUUCAGAGCUUCCUAUGGGGUCAUUUGAGGCCUUUGUUGAGACUGAAUCACAAUUCAACUUCUCCCUCUGCCCAAUCCUAUUCCUUCUCUUCCUUCCCAUCUACAGGUGGUAAUUCCCCAGAUGUACCCCUAAUAAACCCUUUGCGUGCUAAUCUCCCUUUUCUAUUCUGCUUUCUGGAAACCCAAACUGUGAAAGACAUCAAAGGGCUGGGAGGCAAAUCAUGUCUCUACUUACUACUUGUGUGACCUCUAAGACAGAAGAUUAUAAAAGAACAGGUUGAUACAAGGUAAGGCCUUAAAAUGUAUAAAUGCUUAAGAAAUUCACCUGGCAGGUAAAUUUAGCUGUAAUCAUUGUUAUCCUUUAUUUCCUAUGCACCUGGUUAAAGUAUACAAAUUUCUCCAUAAUAUGAGUAUCACUGAUAGUUAAGAGCUGGAAAAGACCUUAGAGAUCACCAAUUCUAACACUUUUAAUUUCCAGAUGAUGAAUAUCUGGUCUUCUUUAAGAAGUAAAUUAAUUAUACAAUGUACCAGAGUCAAUAAAGUAAGUGACAAAGCCAGGACUCAAACCAGGUCUUCUGACUAUAUCCAUUGUUCUUUCUAAUAAACAACUCAGUCUCUCAAUCUACAUAUACUUUAUAAUUCAGUGAAAUUCUUCUUGCCAUAACUGAAACUUGGCUACCGUCUGAGGACCACCACCUCUACUACAGUUCUUCACUGCACUCCUCAUGAGCCUACACAUAGCCUUCUUGCACUUGGGAACACAAGAGAGCACUAAAGUACUAUGUUUGGAGCCAUUUUAAACAGCACAAAAUGCAAAAGACACGGCACUAAGUAGAUGGCAAAAAGAAUAACUAUUUACAGAAUGCUAGUUGAAACAAGAGAGGCCCAGAACCAUUGACUUCAUUCUUUGUUGAUUGUAUUUGGGUUCUCUAGAGGAACAGAAUCAAUAGGAAGUAUAAUUACAAAAGGAGGAUUUAGUAGGUUGGCUAUGCGACCAGAAGCAUCCAGAACAAGAGGCAUCAAUGGUGCUACCCUAGUCCAAAACCAAAGGCUUCUGGAAACUCCCUAAAGAAUCAUUGGCAGAGUCCACUUUAGAAGAGUGAAGAAGUGACAGUCCAAUAUCCUUAGAUGAUCACAGCAGUAAUCAAGAACUGUUAAAGCUGCUGCUUCCUUGUUCUUCCAACUUUUAUUCCACCCAAGCCAUCAUCCUAUUGAAUGGUGAAGCCCAUGCUUAGGGAGGGUCUCCCGUAGGCUAUACCACAUGCCAAUCAUUCUUGCACACACCGUUGUUGACACACCCAGAAACCUCUUAAUCAUUGGCAUCUCUUAAUCCAAUCAAGUUGGCAAUUCAAAUCAACCAUUACAAUGAUAUCCACCUUUCAGUAAUCUCAUCUAGUUCCAUGACUGAUUACACUUACAUUAAACAGAUGUAGUCCCCCAGUUCUUGAAUGUUAUGUUCUGUUUUUCUGUUUUCCAUUUUGACAAUUUCUACUGGCUCAAAUUCACAGAUUAUUUCCUCAGUUGUGUUUGAGGAAACUCUACUAAUAAAUUCAAACACCAUUUCA